rnacentral:rRNA from 1 species
AUACGGAGGGGGUUAGCGUUGUUCGGAAUUACUGGGCGUAAAGCGCACGUAGGCGGAUUGGAAAGUUGGGGGUGAAUUCCCAGGGCUCAACCCUGGAACUGCCUCCAAAACUAACAGUCUAGAGUUCGAGAGAGGUGAGUGGAAUUCCAAGUGUAGAGGUGAAAUUCGUAGAUAUUUGGAGGAACACCAGUGGCGAAGGCGGCUCACUGGCUCGAUACUGACGCUGAGGUGCGAAAGCGUGGGGAGCAAACAGGAUUAGAAACCCCAGUAGUCC